AUUUAAAUAGUUUAUUUAAAAUAUUGAUUUGUGGUGUCAAUGAUAUGAAUUUAUUUCAUUUUAAAUC
rnacentral:tRNA from 2 species